rnacentral:rRNA from 1 species
UGGGGAAUAUUGGACAAUGGGCGCAAGCCUGAUCCAGCAAUGCCGCGUGGGUGAAGAAGGUCUUCGGAUUGUAAAGCCCUUUCGACAGGGACGAUGAUGACGGUACCUGUAGAAGAAGCCCCGGCUAACUUCGUGCCAGCAGCCGCGGUAAUACGAAGGGGGCUAGCGUUGCUCGGAAUUACUGGGCGUAAAGGGCGCGUAGGCGGCUUGCUUAGUCAGACGUGAAAAUCCUGGGCUUAACCUGGGGACUGCGUUUGAUACGGGCAGGCUUGAGGAUGGAAGAGGCUCGUGGAAUUCCCAGUGUAGAGGUGAAAUUCGUAGAUAUUGGGAAGAACACCGGUGGCGAAGGCGGCGAGCUGGUCCAUUACUGACGCUGAGGCGCGACAGCGUGGGGAGCAAACAGGAUUAGAUACCCUGGUAGUCCACGCCGUAAACGAUGUGCGCUGGAUGUUGGGUGGCCUAGCCACUCAGUGUCGUAGCCAACGCGAUAAGCGCACCGCCAUGGGG